CCUACGGGAGGCAGCAGUGAGGAAUAUUGCUCAAUGGACGAAAGCCUGAACCAGCCAUGCCGCGUGCAGGAAGACGGUCCUAUGAGUUGUAAACCGCUUUUGCACGGGGGCAAAGGCCGAUACGUGUACCUCACUGAAAGUACCGUACGAACAAGGAUCGGCUAACUCCGUGCCAGCCGCCGCGGUAAUACGGAGGGUUCAAGCGUUAUCCGGAUUUAUUGGGUGUAAAGUGUGCGUAGGCGGUCGGAUAAGUUAGCGGUGAAAUCUCGAGGCUCAACGUCGGAAUUGCCUCUGAUACUGGUCGGCUAGAGAGUAGGUGCGGUAGGCGGAAUGUAUGGUGUAGCGGUGAAAUGCAUAGAGAUCAGACAGAACACCGAUUGCGAAGGCAGCUUACCAGGCUACUUCUGACGUUGAGGCACGAAAGCGUGGGGAGCAAACAGGAUUAGAUACCCGGGUAGUC
rnacentral:rRNA from 1 species